UACGAGGGGGGCAAGCGUUGUUCGGAAUUAUUGGGCGUAAAGGGCGUGCAGGCGGUCUGUUAAGUGCAGGGUGAAAGCUCCCGGCUCAACUGGGAGAGGUCCUUGCAUACUGGCGGACUUGAGGGGGGUAGAGGAAAGUGGAAUUCCCGGUGUAGUGGUGAUAUGCGUAGAUAUCGGGAGGAACACCUGUGGCGAAGGCGGCUUUCUGGGCCCUACCUGACGCUGAGACGCGAAAGCGUGGGGAGCGAACCGG
rnacentral:rRNA from 1 species